UCGAGGGGUAUGGCAGCAAUGCCAGAGACCGGCGCACGGGUGCGUAACGCGUAUGCAAUCUACCUUUUACAGGGGAAUAGCCCAGAGAAAUUUGGAUUAAUGCCCCAUGGUAUUAUAGAAUGGCAUCAUUUUAUGAUUAAAGUUCCAACGGUAAAAGAUGAGCAUGCGUCCCAUUAGUUAGUUGGUAAGGUAACGGCUUACCAAGACGAUGAUGGGUAGGGGUCCUGAGAGGGAGAUCCCCCACACUGGUACUGAGACACGGACCAGACUCCUACGGGAGGCAGCAGUGAGGAAUAUUGGACAAUGGGCGCAAGCCUGAUCCAGCCAUGCCGCGUGCAGGAAGAAGCAUCUAUGGUGUGUAAACUGCUUUUGUACAGGAAGAAACAUCCCGACGUGUCGGGACUUGACGGUACUGUAAGAAUAAGGAUCGGCUAACUCCGUGCCAGCAGCCGCGGUAAUACGGAGGAUCCAAGCGUUAUCCGGAAUCAUUGGGUUUAAAGGGUCCGUAGGCGGUUUAAUAAGUCAGUGGUGAAAUCUGGUCGCUCAACGAUCAAACGGCCAUUGAUACUGUUAGACUUGAAUUAUUGUGGAGUAACUAGAAUAUGUAGUGUAGCGGUGAAAUGCUUAGAUAUUACAUGGAAUACCAAUUGCGAAGGCAGGUUACUAACAAUGGAUUGACGCUGAUGGACGAAAGCGUGGGGAGCGAACAGGAUUAGAUACCCUGGUAGUC
rnacentral:rRNA from 1 species